rnacentral:rRNA from 1 species
AACGAACGCUGGCGGCAUGCCUAACACAUGCAAGUCGAACGAGACCUUCGGGUUUAGUGGCGCACGGGUGCGUAACGCGUGGGAACCUGCCCUUAGGUUCGGAAUAACUCCCCGAAAGGGGUGCUAAUACCGGAUAAUGUCUUCGGACCAAAGAUUUAUCGCCUUUGGAUGGGCCCGCGUUGGAUUAGCUAGUUGGUAGGGUAAAAGCCUACCAAGGCGACGAUCCAUAGCUGGUCUGAGAGGAUGAUCAGCCACACUGGGACUGAGACACGGCCCAGACUCCUACGGGAGGCAGCAGUGGGGAAUAUUGGACAAUGGGCGAAAGCCUGAUCCAGCAAUGCCGCGUGAGUGAUGAAGGCCUUAGGGUUGUAAAGCUCUUUUACCCGGGAAGAUAAUGACAGUACCGGGAGAAUAAGCUCCGGCUAACUCCGUG